AAGAGGGUGACAGAGCGGUGAUGUGGCUGGCUUGAAACCAGCAUAUGGGGGUUCAAUUCCUUCCUCUCUUG
rnacentral:tRNA from 1 species